rnacentral:rRNA from 1 species
UACGUAGGGUGCGAGCGUUGUCCGGAAUUACUGGGCGUAAAGAGCUCGUAGGCGGUUUGUCGCGUCGGGAGUGAAAACCCAGGGCUUAACCCUGGGCUGGCUUCCGAUACGGGCAGACUAGAGGUAUGCAGGGGAGAACGGAAUUCCUGGUGUAGCGGUGAAAUGCGCAGAUAUCAGGAGGAACACCGGUGGCGAAGGCGGUUCUCUGGGCAUUACCUGACGCUGAGGAGCGAAAGUGUGGGGAGCGAACAGG